rnacentral:rRNA from 1 species
UACGAAGGGGGCUAGCGUUGCUCGGAAUCACUGGGCGUAAAGCGCACGUAGGCGGCUUGUUAAGUCAGGGGUGAAAUCCUGGAGCUCAACUCCAGAACUGCCUUUGAUACUGGCGAGCUUGAGUUCGGGAGAGGUGAGUGGAACUGCGAGUGUAGAGGUGAAAUUCGUAGAUAUUCGCAAGAACACCAGUGGCGAAGGCGGCUCACUGGCCCGAUACUGACGCUCAUGUACGAAAGCGUGGGGAGCAAACAGG